rnacentral:rRNA from 1 species
AGAGCGAACGCUGGCGGCAGGCUUAACACAUGCAAGUCGAGCGGGCGUAGCAAUACGUCAGCGGCAGACGGGUGAGUAACGCGUGGGAACGUACCUUUUGGUUCGGAACAACACAGGGAAACUUGUGCUAAUACCGGAUAAGCCCUUACGGGGAAAGAUUUAUCGCCAAAAGAUCGGCCCGCGUCUGAUUAGCUAGUUGGUGAGGUAACGGCUCACCAAGGCGACGAUCAGUAGCUGGUCUGAGAGGAUGAUCAGCCACAUUGGGACUGAGACACGGCCCAAAACUCCUACGGGAGGCAGCAGUGGGGAAUAUUGGACAAUGGGCGCAAGCCUGAUCCAGCCAUGCCGCGUGAGUGAUGAAGGCCCUAGGGUUGUAAAGCUCUUUUGUGCGGGAAGAUAAUGACGGUACCGCAAGAAUAAGCCCCGGCUAACUUCGCGCCAGCAGCCGC